AUGUGCUUGCUUCAGCCACACAUAUACUAAAAUUCGAACGACACAGAGAUUAGCAUAGACCCUGCACAAGGAUGACAUGCAAAUUCAUGAAGCAUUCCAUAUUUGG
ensembl:snRNA U6 U6 spliceosomal RNA